CAUAAGCUAGUAAGACCCCUUGAAGAACACAAGGUUGAUAGGUCAGAGGUGUAAGUGCGGUAACGUAUGUAGCUGACUGAUACUAAUAGGUCGAGGGCUUGACCAAUAA
rnacentral:rRNA from 1 species